rnacentral:rRNA from 1 species
AUUGAACGCUGGCGGCAGGCUUAACACAUGCAAGUCGAGCGAGCGGCGGACGGGUGAGUAAUGUCUGGGAAACUGCCUGAUGGAGGGGGAUAAAUACUGGAAACGGUAGCUAAUACCGCAUACCAUCAGAUGUGCCCAAAUGGGAUUAGCUAGUAGGUGGGGUAAUGGAUCACCUAGGCGAAGAUCCCUAGCUGGUCUGAGAGGAGGACCCGCCACACUGGAACUGAGCCAGUGUCCAGACUCCUACGGGAGGCAGCAGUGGGAUAUAUUGUACAAUGGGCGAAAGCCUGAUGCAGCUAUGCCGCGUGUGUGAAGAAGGCCUUCGGGUUGGAAAGCACUUUCAGCGAGGAGGGGUUACUCGCAGAAGAAGCACCGGCGAACUCCGUGCCAGCAGCGGCGGUAAUA